rnacentral:rRNA from 1 species
UACGUAGGGAGCAAGCGUUGUCCGGAAUCAUUGGGCGUAAAGCGCGCGUAGGUGGCCACAUAAGUCCGUUGUGAAAGUCAAAGGCUCAACCUUUGAAAGCCGAUGGAUACUGUGUGGCUAGAGUACGGAAGAGGCGAGUGGAAUUCCUGGUGUAGCGGUGGAAUGCGCAGAUAUCAGGAGGAACACCAAUAGCGAGGGCAGCUCGCUGGGACGUUACCGACGCUGAGACGCGAAAGCGUGGGGAGCGAACAGG